CCUCACUUCUCCCCAAUCUUCCACCCGCGCGCCGCCCUCACUCCGACCUCGGCAAAAAUCAGGCGGCCGCCGCACGCUCGCUCCUCCCCAAAUUCGCUCGGCGCGCUCCUCCGCCCUCGUCAAUUCGCCGCCACGCCAGCUCGUCCCAGCCAAAUCGCUCGCGCUCGCUGGUCCCUGCCAAAUCCAUAUCCCCACCGCGCCUGCUCCAUCUCCCCAAAUCACCACCGUGCCCUCCCUCUCCCAACCUCACGCAAUCUACUUCCUCCCCCAAAUCUCGCGCCGCCUCCUUCGUUUGCUGCUAGCUCAGCCCUUGCCGCCCCAAUCUUCUCCACGUUGCUUUUCCCUCGCCCCCGCAGCCUCAGUCUCCUGCAUCGCCGGUCACUUUGCUGCAAGAACAAGGCGUCCUUUCCCCUAUGUAUUCGCUCAAGCUCGUCAACUGCGUGGAACUGGGGUCCAUCCAAGUUUGGAUUCCAUCUUCGGCUGGUGCUCCACCGUAUGGGUUCAUUGAGAAGACAAACAAGGCAUUCUUGAAUGCUUGACGGGUUUUUGGGAAGAAAGCAUUUAAAUCUACAUUUCAAUGAAAUCAAGAGGCAAUAGUUUUGAUAUGGAUCUUGAAGAAGUUAUGCUUAUGGAAGCAAUUUGGCUCUCUAUACAGGAUCAGGAAGCUUUGGGAAAUCCAGGAUGUGUUGCCACUACUCCACCAUCAAUUCAAAGGUCUUAUGAUGGUUCUAUGACAACAACGGCUGAAGCAGCUUCUUCUGGCGGAUUUGCCUGUGCAGUCGCAGCUUUAGCGGAACAACAGCAUAUUCACGGAGAGUCUUCUAGCACACCAACUUGCCAGACAACAAGGUUUGACACCCUCAGCAGAUCAGACAGAUCCUAUACGGAGGAUCCAAGCAUAGUUGGGAGCAGUUCUUCAGACUCCAGGGUUGAGGAACCAUCAAGCAGUAGGACACACCAAAUAGUAGAGGGUGCCGAGUCUUCUAAUGAUCAGUGGUCAGAGAUCGCUGAGGACGGUACUAGUCAUGCUGGGUCUGAUGUUACAGCGGAGGCCAUUGCUGCCAAUUCAGCCGCCUCAGUUCGAACUAUGAAUAGCACAUAAAGCUGGACUAGAGGCCUAUAAACACAUGGUUCCAAAUUCUUUCACUGCUCGAUGAGCUAGCAGUUCUCCGUCACAACUGUCCGCCUCCCGCAGUCCUCAUUCAAGCACCGCCCCCGGUCGCCGGCCGCCGCCCCCAGUCACUAGCCCACCGCCUGCCGACGUGGCCCCCUCGUCCCCGCGUCCAACCACUGGGGCAACUGGACCUGCCUCCUGACCACCGCUGCGCUGGGCAUCUGGUCGGAGAAGCGGACCCCGGUGGGGAAGGCGCUGAGCGGGGCGCUGGUGAGCGUGCUGCUGGGUCUGACGGCCAGCAGUGCCGGCGUGGUGGCGGCGGACGCCCUGGCGUACCGCGUGGUGCUCGACUACUUCCUGCCGCUCGCCAUCCCGCUGCUGCUCUUCCGCACCAACCUCCACCGCGUGCUCCACUCCACCGGCGUGCUGCUGCUGGCCUUCCUGCUUGGGUCCGGCAGUCGACGAGCAGAACGCUGUGAACACACAAGUCCCAGGUUACUACGCUGGGCAUGUGCAAGGGAGGCGAGAACCUGCUGCAGAGCCCAACAACCCUGCUGACACUGCGGUUCAACAGAGCCGAGAACAAGACUUUCUUGCAAGAGGGUUUGGAUGCUUCGCUGGCAGUAGUGGAAAUGCGAACUAAACCCAUAGGACAUCCCUGCUCGGAGCUCAGUAGAGGACUAGGCAUCUGGAUGGGUUGCAGGAACCUUUCAGAUUCUCGGUUCUAUGAAACUUGUUCUUCCGCAUUUCCGUUGUAAUUUUGGACCAUAUUACGGGCACAAUGAGGUUGUUUCUUGUGUUACCAUUGUUUUGUGUUACCAUUGUUUUCACUAAGCCUACUUAUGUAAACCAAUGGAAUUUCUUCCUAUAGUACAUGUCUGCGAUGAAUUGGAGCAUCUUCCUACGGAGCACCACAUACGAAUUAGGAAACAUGUUAUUUUGUUGCGAGCAAUUUGCAUAUAAACUUACCCACAGACCUUUAGGGGUAUUAUAUUUAGGGGUAUUAUAGGUAUUUUUUGAAUAGCUUACAGUUCACGGCUGCUCUAACCAAACGGUCUUCUGCUUUUUUCCACAGUUACUUUUCCACAGCUCACAGCAGCUUUUCCAAGUCAUAGCCCAACCAAACACACCCUUAAUUGAUUACUGAAUUUUCUGUUGCUCGUAGUUCUCCAUAGAACAGUUGGGAAAUUGGACUUGAGAAAUGCUUGAGGAACUUCAUGGUGGUGCCAGGCAGCAGCUUAUCGACAACAAGGUGAUCAAAGUGCUGAUCCAGUGUUUGAUUUGUUUUUUAUUAUAUGGAGAUGGCUUUAUUGUUUUGGAGGCAAACAAUCCAAAUAUGUAGCUAGGAAGUGUAUGAUUGAUGGACAUCAUGAGCUACUGAUGUUACGUGGCUACAUGAAUUGAA